UAAUCUAGUCUUCAUCUCCGCUUGAUUCAUUUCGUGCCAGUUAGUGAAAGGCGUGACGAAUUCAAGUUGAGGUGUUGCGUGCUGUCUGCAAGCUAGCAAUCCAAUUGGCUGUCGCUAGUUGGCUAAAAUGACGUCCACCAGGAGCGCCAUGUUGUUUCUAACAGACGCAGCCGAAAUGAGUGUUGAAUGUUUAUCGUGACGUUUCCCAGUGCUGAAAAUGAAAAGGUGAUUUAGCUUGUAAACUGUUGAUGGCCAAAUCAUCUCGUACCUUAAGUGCAUGUACAUUUCGCCAAUUUAUAGUGCAUCAAGCGUCUUGAGUUUUUUUUUGUUAUUUCCGUAAUCUAUACUUCAGAGCAAUUAAAGUAGGAGAUCCAUUUGCGGCAUUUGCUUGUCUAUCAAAUAAUUUGAGAUCACAACAAAGUCUGAGCUUCGUUGCUGUCAUGCAGAUGGUUUCGUUACAGCCACCUGGUGAAAAUUGAGUUCAAGUUGGGCUGCAGCUGCUGCAAGCAGUCUGUAGCCUUGAUGUCAUCCUGAAGUGUUCUCAAUGUGUCAGUCUAGGCUGAAGCUAAUUAAAGUGUGCUGUUCAAGUCUUAUCAUAGACGUCAAGCACAUUGAUAACAAAUUAUAAACAAGGUGAGAUGUCAAGCACAUUGACAACAAAUUAUAAGCAAGAUGACUUUCUUUUUUCAUAUAUUUGCAGGGUCCAAACUACAUGUUUCUAAAUUUGCAUACCAGACUAUGAGAAGUCAUGUCAUUUGAAGAAAAAGGGCAAUGACUACACAAGUACACAGUGAACAAGGUCCCUUGUUUAAAAACCCGUUGGCUGCUACCUGUGAAUCUCCCUUUUUACUUCCUUAAACGGGCCCU